UACGUAGGCAGCGAGCGUUGUUCGGAGUUACUGGGCGUAAAGCGUGCGUAGGCGGUUGUCUAAGUUUGGUGUGAAAUCUCCCGGCUUAACUGGGAGGGUGCGCCGAAAACUGGGUGACUGGAGUGUCGGAGAGGUAAGCGGAAUUCCUGGUGUAGCGGUGAAAUGCGUAGAGAUCAGGAGGAACACCUGUGGGGGAGACAGCUUACUGGACGAUAACUGACGCUGAGGCACGAAAGCGUGGGUAGCAAACAGG
rnacentral:rRNA from 1 species